rfam:Morus notabilis contig23651, whole genome shotgun sequence.
GUAAUGUUUCUUGCUCAAAUGAGUAUUCCAGAAACAGUAGCAUUAGUCUAUCCGCGUAUUAAUAUCAGUUAAUUUGCUGCUGGUUUUCUGAGAUGCUCAUUUGAGCAAGCAAUGUUAU